GAUACCUGCGCACCAGGGAAAUCCGGUGCGCGCAAGGGGAAGGCGCGAAGCAUACGGAAAGCUGCGGCAAGUACGGAAAAGCUGAGAGCAGGCUUCCAGGAAAAGCUUCUAGCACAACACGCAUCGGCCCGUACCGAAAAUGGACACACAUGGGCAAGGAGAGAAUCCUGAGGUGAGCGAGAGAACUAUAGCUAAGGAACUCUGCAAAAUGACCCCGUAACUUAGGGAGAAGGGGUGCUCCAGAAAUGGAGCCGCAGUAAAACGGCCCAAGCGACUGUUUACCAAAACACAGCUCUCUGCGAAGGCGCAAGCCGAAGUAUAGGGGGUGACGCCUGCCCGGUGCUGGAAGGUCAAGGGGAGCUGUCAGCGCAAGCGAAGCAGCGAGCCGAAGCCCCAGUAAACGGCGGCCGUAACAAUAACGGUCCUAAGGUAGCGAAAUUCCUUGUCGGGCAAGUUCCGACCCGCACGAAAGGCGUAACGAUUUGGGCGCUGUCUCAGCUGUAGACUCGGUGAAGUCUUAGUACCUGUGAAGAUGCAGGUUGCCCGCGACUAGACGGAAAGACCCCAUGGAGCUUCACUGCAGGUUGACAUUGGGCUUGGAUGCAUGAUGUACAGUAUAGGUGGGAGGCUGUGAGCCGUGCGCGCCAGCGUACGGGGAGCCGCUGUUGGGAUACCACCCUUCAUGCAUCUAGGUCCUAACCGGAGGCAACGGGCCACGGGACAGUGUCAGUCGGGCAGUUUGACUGGGGCGGUCGCCUCCCAAAGAGUAACGGAGGCGCCCAAAGAUACCCUCAGCAUGGAUGGAAACCAUGCAUAGAGUGCAAAGGCAUAAGGGUGUCUGACUGCGAGACAUACAGGUCGAGCAGGGACGAAAGUCGGGCUUAGUGAUCCGGCGGAUCCGAAUGGAAGGGCCGUCGCUCAACGGAUAAAAGCUACCCUGGGGAUAACAGGCUGAUCUCCCCCAAGAGUUCACAUCGACGGGGAGGUUUGGCACCUCGAUGUCGGCUCAUCGCAUCCUGGAGCUGAAGUCGGUUCCAAGGGUUGGGCUGUUCGCCCAUUAAAGCGGUACGCGAGCUGGGUUCAGAACGUCGUGAGACAGUUCGGUCCCUAUCUGUCGUGGGCGCAGGAGGUUUGAGGAGAGCUGCCCCUAGUACGAGAGGACCGGGGUGGACGGACCGAUGGUGCACCAGUUGUCACGCCAGUGGCACAGCUGGGCAGCCAAGUCCAGACGGGAUAAGCGCUGAAGGCAUCUAAGCGUGAAGCCCCCUCCAAGAUGAGACCUCCCAUUGGCGACAAGUAAGGCCCCUCGAAGACGACGAGGUUGAUAGGCCGCGAGUGCAAGCGCAGCGAUGUGCUUAGCGGGGCGGUACUAAUAGGCCGAGGACUUGGCCG
rnacentral:rRNA from 1 species